ensembl:lncRNA
CACAGAACACAUCCAACAGAGCAAAGGAAAUUGGAGGGAAGCGUGUCGCACAGCUGAUUGGCAGUCGCUGCAUGAUAACUUGCCAUUUAAAUGGUGUCCAGACUCAAAUGCUUUUGGACAGUGGAGCUCAGAUCAGUAUGGCUGGACAGAUGUGGCUAAAGAAGAACCUCCCAAACAUCGAAAUCCAACCACUAGAAUCUCUAUUAGCAGAUAGCCAGCUACACGUCACUGCAGCAAAUGGGACAGCUGUACCCUUUGAUGGGUGGGUUGAGGUUUUAUUAGAGAUCACAAGUGGCAAACAAAACAAAAUCGCCAUCCAAGUGCCCCUUUUGGUGAGUCGAAAAUGCAUGGACUGCCCGUUGCUUGGGUUCAAUGUAAUUGAGGAGAUCAUAAGGGAGAAUAAUGACGGUGCAAAUAACUUGAGCCUAAUUGAUCUUCUGUCUGAAGCUUUGCAGAUGCAAAAAGGUGCCACUGAAACCUUGGUGUCCACAGUGAACUCUAACCUCCUCCAAGAAUGUACUGCCAGCUGUAUAGUAAAGACUGGGAAGUCAGGAGCCACCAUCCCCUGUGGUCAGGUCCUAGAGGUAAAAUGCAGAAUAAGAACAGGGCACAAGGGUGAGACCAUGAUGUUCGAACCAGCGUCAGAAAGUUUCAUCCCCGAAGGGUUGGAGUUAUUUCCUGCUGUUGUAAAUGUGCCUCCUGGUGCCUCAAAGACAGUGAAAAUUCCAGUUCAAAAUUCCACAAACCAUAACAUUUACCUACCUCAGAGACUUGUCUUAGGUAAUAUCGAACCCAUCAGCGAAAUUAGACCCGUUUGCUCUUCCUCCAGCAUUUCACAUCCAGAUCAACAGAUCAAUGGUGCGCUUUUGUGUGCAUCCCAGCUCACGUCAGCGGACGAUGUCUGUAAAAGGGAACAUCAUGAGAGAAGAGUUGGAGAAAAAUGGCACCCACCUGUUGAUCUUGAACACCUCAAUAAACAGGAACAAGAUAUUGUGAGGAAAAUGUUGUUUGAGGAGUCAGAUGUGUUUGCUCAGGAUGAGGGAGACAUCGGGUGUAUUCCUGAUCUGCAGUUGAAAAUCCGUUUAUCAGAUGAUACACCAGUCCAGAGGUGUUAUAAUUCCAUCCCAAAACCCCUUUAUAAGGAGGUGAAAGACUAUGUGCAGAAUCUGUUGAACAGAGGUUGGAUCAAGAAGUCAUCCUCAUCGUAUUCGUCACCAGUGGUAUGUGUUCGGAAAAAAGACAGUAGCUUGCGCUUGUGUGUCGAUUUUCGAGCUCUUAACCGCAAGACCAUCCCUGAUCGACAUCCCCUCCCCAGGAUUCAAGAUCUGUUAGACAGCCUUGGGGGAAAUUCAUGGUUUUCCAUUCUGGAUCAGGGAAGCGCAUACCAUCAGGGAUUUGUGAGUGAGGACUCUAGACAUGUCACUGCCUUUAACACUCCAUGGGGACUAUACGAGUGGGUGCGUAUUCCCUUUGGGUUAACAAACGC